rnacentral:rRNA from 1 species
UAGGAUUCCCUCAGUAAGGGCGACUGAACAGGGAUAAGCUCAGCAUGGAAAUCGGGGCCCUGGGCCUUGAAUUGUAGUCUCGAGUUGUACUGCCAACGGAGGCGCAGAUGUAAGCCUCUUGGAAAAGAGCAUCAACGAGGGUGAGAGUCCCGUUUGUCAUCUGCAGUCCCCCGUGCACGGUGUACUUCUAAAGAGUCACGUUCCUCGGGAUUGGAGCGCAAAGUGGGUGGUAAAUUUCAUCUAAAGCUAAAUAUAGGUUCGAGACCGAUAGCAAACAAGUACCAUGAGGGAAAGGUGAAAAGGACUUUGAAAAGAGAGUUAAAAGUGCCUGAAAUUGCUGAAAGGGAAGCGAAUGGAACCAGUGCUUCUUGGCAAGAUUGGUGCGUGCUAAUGUGAUUGGCUGCUGCUUCAGCGCAAGCGUGGCAGUGGUUUUUGAUCAGGAUGUGCGUGUUGUUUCUUGCCUUGUGUGUCAACGUCAGUUCUCAAUCGAGGAAAACGCCAGGGACAUGGUAGCUCGCUCUCGGGUGAUCGAAUGUGCUUGGUCGAACUCAUUUGUGAACUGGUUCUUGCGUGUCUGGUUGCAGUGUCCUCUGUUCCUUCCUUCUGUCUGUAGAGUGGUCUUCCUCUCUGCAGCUGAAGUGGGCAACUGGGACAUCUCCCUUACACAACGACGAUGACUAAAUGGUUCUAUUCGACCCGUCUUGAAACACGGACCAAGGAGUCUAACAUAUGUGCGAGUUCACGGGCGGGUAAACCUGCUUGCGCAAUGAAAGUGACUGCUGGGAUCUUUGCACCAGCAACCGACCAAUCAAUUGAGAGAGGUUUGAGUAUGAGCAUAUCUGUUAGGACCCGAAAGAUGGUGAACUAUGCGUGGUUAGGGCAAAGUCAGGGGAAACUCUGAUGGAGGCUCGUAGCGAUACUGACGUGCAAAUCGUUCGUCAAAACUGCGUAUAGGGGCGAAAGACUAAUCGAACCAUCUAGUAGCUGGUUCCCUCCGAAGUUUCCCUCAGGAUAGCUGGAGUUGAACAGUUUUAUCAGGUAAAGCGAAUGAUUAGAGGAAUCGGGGACGCGUCGUCCUCGACCUAUUCUCAAACUUUAAAUGGGUAAGAUCCAGUGGUUACUUGGGUGAACUUCUGGGAUAAAUGACAACUCUAAGUGGGCCAUUUUUGGUAAGCAGAACUGGCGAUGAGGGAUGAACCUAACGUUUGGUUAAGGUGCUUAACUGCUCGCUCAUCAGAUACCAUAAAGGGUGUUGGUUCAUUUUAACAGCAGGACGGUGGUCAUGGAAGUCGAAAUCCGCUAAGGAGUGUGUAACAACUCACCUGCCGAAUGGACUAGCCCCGAAAAUGGAUGGCGCUAAAGCGGGUGACCGAUACCAAACCAUUGUUGCAAUUGUUUUGCAUCAAUGAGUAGGAGGGCAUGGGGGUU